AGGACUUUUCCAGUGAGACGGGUGUCAGUGGGAGUUGGGCCGGAAAACCCAACAAAAGGAGGAGCCGCAAGCAACCGCAAGGGGGAAAAGCUGGAAAACCCAGGGAGCCCAGCAGGACUUGUUUUGUAUUUGUCCCGAAAAAAGAGGAGAGCAAAAAUUUGUUUUAAUGCCACGCUCUUUUUAUGCUUUUCUUUAUAACUUCUUUUCAGCUUUUUUGUCAUGUUACAAUUCUGCAGCGACAGCAGUAAAAAAUAAUAUCCCCACACCCGCCCCCAACCGGCAACCGCAACUUGUGCAACAUCAUAAACCCAUUUGCGUUUUUAAUUAGUAACAUCGCAGCUUGGCGGACUGAAGCGGUCGGCCGAGGGCGAAAAGUAAAUGACCAUGCACAAAAUGUUGCACAGAUAACAAGUCCUGGCCUCACAAGCCCCACAAAAAAAAAAAAAAACUAGAGCAAAUAAGUGCGAACACAACUAGCCAUGGAACAGGAACGGGGAACUGCUAACUGGAAACAGGGAGCAGCCGGUGGCCAGUUCAUCCUCAUCACAGCCAUAAAAGAGUCCGCCGCCAACAAAGUUGAAAAAGCGCAGCUCAAGUGGAGCAGCCUCCAGUCGGCGGAAAUGGUUUCGGUUUCGGGUUCGUGGCUCACUUUUUAUAUUUUAAAACCUUUUUUUUUUUAGUUCGUAUAUGGGGCAACGACCCUGGGUCACUGCGACUGACCAGUGAAGAGGAUUCCGUGAGGGAGGUGCCGACAGGUGUAGUGUCCUUCAAGUGGCAGGGAUAAUCCCACCGAACACCAACGCUAAUUAAAGAUGGGGGAAUAAGUGUGAUAUCACUUUGGUGAAAGACCUAAUGAAUAGAGAUGCGUAUGUGAUUGACAUAUAAAAUGAAUAUUCCAUUAAUAUGUAGGUAAUAAAAAAGCCCAUCAUAUUAGUUGAUGUUUAGUUCGCCCGACGU
rnacentral:lncRNA from 1 species